GACGUAGGGCGCGAGCGUUGUCCGGAUUUAUUGGGCGUAAAGAGCUCGUAGGCGGCUUGUCGCGUCGUCUGUGAAAUCCCGCGGCUCAACUGCGGGUCUGCAGUCGAUACGGGCAGGCUAGAGUUCGGUAGGGGAGACUGGAAUUCCUGGUGUAGCGGUGAAAUGACGCAGAUAUCAGGAGGAACACCGGUGGCGAAGGCGGGUCUCUGGGCCGAUACUGACGCUGAGGAGCGAAAGCGUGGGGAGCGAACAGG
rnacentral:rRNA from 1 species